rnacentral:lncRNA from 1 species
UACAAAGCAAAGAUAAACAAAUUUAAACAUUGAAAACAAAAGAAAGAAAACACCUAAAAACGCUCCAACAAUCCAAUUUGAAUGGCAAGCACGUCCAAGAUCCUUCUUCUUCUCUUUGUAGCGGCACAAGGUGUGGUUUGAUGGAUGAGUGGUAAAAUUAUGGUGGUGGAUGGAUAUAGGUGGGUUAUGGUGAAGGGUGGAUGGGUGGAUUGUGUUCUCUUUGGUUUUCUUCCCCCUUGUUAUGGUGAAGGGUGGAUGUAUUUAUAGGCUAGGGAGAGGACCACUCCAUUUCCUUUGCAUGUGAGCUUGUGUGGGUGUGUGUUGGCAUGUUUCCUCUUUACAUUUACACACACAUGCUUCAUCAUUUCAACCACAAAACACACACAUUUUCUGCCAUGUUUUUCCCUUUACAUUUACACACACACAUGACCUCCAUCAUUUCAACCACAAAUCAACCCAUUUUAUGCCCAUGUGUGUGUGUUUCCUUUGCCCAUGUGUGUGUGUUUCCUUUGCCCAUGUGUGUGUGUUUUUUCCUUUGCAUUUGUACACACAUGUUCUUUUUCAUUAUUUCAGCCAACAAUCCACCCAUUUUCUGCCCAUGUCAAACUAUCCAUGCCUUGCCUUUCUCUUUGUGUAUGUGCUGUCCACGUUUCUGAACCUUUCAGUGUUACAAUGCCCAUAACUUCUUCUAGAAAAAUGAUAUUAACAAUCCGUAAAUUGCUCCAGAAAGUAGACAUCCGUAGCUUUCCACGAAUAUAAGGCUCAUUUUCUAAUUCAUUCUGAGCUGUUUGUAACAUGCUUUCAAAGUCAGCUAAUCUGCACAGGCAGUUUUGACGAAUUUGUUACUUAAUAAUUCACUUGUGCUACUUUUCUUUUCUUUGCUUGAUAAAUCACACAAAAUACAAAAACAUAGUAAAUAGCUCAAAAAUGUAAGGAACUAACUAAGAAAAGACGAGUGAAUUCGAAGUAAAAAUAUAUAUAAAUAUGAUCCGAUCAAAUACCCCCACACUUAACUUUUGCUAGUCCUCGAGCAAAACAAAGAAAACAAGAACAAGAAGUAACAAGAAAAACAUUAGCUUCCCCCUAUGUGACCCUCAUAGAAUUUCAUUUAAGAAAACAAAUCAUCAAGAACCAUAGCUAGCAUCAAGGAACUAAUCCAAGUUCAUCUUCCUUAUUCAAAUAUUAGCAGUAAUCUUUGAAUCAUCCUUGAAGUGUAGUGUGUGAGAUAGCCAUGCUAAUGCAAUUUCAAGUUUUUAUUUUUAAAAUCAUCAUAUGCAAACUAGUGACCUUCUCACGGGAUAUACACUCAAUCACAUAUGUGUUUAGUUUUAGUGUGUUUCGCUCAAAGAAUCAAAUGUGAAAUUUCUACCAUAAGCUUGCAUAAAGAUCACUUCUCCACAGUCAUAAUUGCAAAACUUAAAUCAAGAGGACUUUUAUUGGAUGUAAUGAGGCUUAGGGAUAGGGUUAUUGAAACGAAAGAAUAGGAAAACACAAGUUCCAAGCUACAUUGCAAGCAAUUCUUUUCUUUAGAUUUAUAAGAACUCAAGCUCUCCAGCAAUUCUUCUAGCACCUCCAACCAUACUCUUAAACUGAAACUUUAAAAACUUUUUAUUUUCUUUUUAUACAAUCUUUCUUUUUUUUUUUUUUUUUUUUUUUUUUUUUUUUUUUUAAUCACAAACAUGAAAUACCCCCACACUUAUUCUUUUGCCAAACAUCCUUCACAAGUACUUCACAAACGUUUCUCAUAAGACAAUCUCGCAUUGCUCGCUUGGAAAGGGUAAGGAAAAAUGUUUCAGGUAUAAGGGUAGACAUAUCUGGUGAUAAGAAAUAAAAGGCUCAACAACAAGGCUCAAAUUGGCAAUCUAAUGAUAUCAUUUUUAUUUGGGAAACAUGGUUAUUUGGGCCAUAGUGGUAAACCUAAUGCCUCUAUCAUUUCCAAGUUCAUGCAAUCAAUGACAAACAUUUCGAAAGAUCGUUACGCAAGUUCUAGAGAUGUAUCUCACAUAAGUUCAUCACACAUGAAAGAAUAGGAGUGUAUGAAAAAUGCACACACUUUCAAUAGGCUCAAAAACUCACAUAGGAUGUAUAUGGUCACUAAAUUCACAUAUGAAGCUUUAAGUCAUACUUUAGUUUCACAUUAACAAGGCUAUGUGCAUUUGGUUUUUCAAAGAUGAUCAAACAUGUACAAAACUAACAAGAGAAUUAGGAAUUUCACAAAACACAUGUUAACUAAGUUCUUGAUAAUCAUGAUUCAAAUUUGAUCUAAUUAUAUCAUUGGGUCGGGAAACUAACAAAAAUCUAAUUCAAAACAAUAAGGGAAACAAGACAAUAUUUUUGGAUUUUUAAAUUUUCCGAUUUUUUUUUUAUUUAUUUAUUUAUUUUUUUUUAAAGAAAACAAAACUAAUUAAGAAAACAAAAAGCAACAACAUGGAAACAAAUGAAACUCGUUAGUAGUUGAAGGUACAAAAAAAAAAAAUUUCAAUUUGGUCAUUUUUUAUACUCUUUACCCCCAAACUUAAACUGGACAUUGUCCCCAAUGUCAGAAAAUACUAUACUGCAAAUAAAAAUAAAAUAAAUAAAUAAUAAGAAGCAAAAUAAAACAAUGGGACUGAAAACUUCCCUAGUUUGCAGUAAAAUCAAGCGAUGACCCCCAAGCUAAAAUUCUGCAAUCAACUUCAAGGGUGGAAAUAACCAAAUUUUCCUGCAAAGAAAAGAAAUAAUUCAGUUAAGUAACACAAGAAAAUAUAUAUAAAAAAAAAAAAAAAAUUGCAAACGAAAAAUUGAAAAUCACGAUAAAAGACAAUGAAUAGAACUAAUAAGUGAUCAUUGGUCGUGCUUGUUGACUUUCCACAGCUUUCCUCUUGAACUGGGUGACACUUAGCUUUUUACUUGCAAGUGAUGAUUUGAUGAUAUUGUACGGCGAAGCUUUGCUCUUUGGUGAUGUUGCAGUUCCUUAUUUGUUCUCCAAGCAGAUGUGGCAGCUUCUCUAGUUCCUCAGCUCGGACUCCUUCCGCUGGGAUGAUUGUGCAAGCUGCAUUCUUCUCUGCUUGUUUCUUCUGUACGUUGUCUCCACAUGCUGUUGGUAUCAUUUUCGCUUGCCUUAUUCUGUUCUUCAGGUAGAUGUGGCAGCUUCUUUGGAAGUACAUCAGCAGUGGAAGACGAGUACUCGAGAGCAAUUUCUCCAUGUCCUGCAGGUUAGAACAAAGACAAGGAAAAGGACAUGGAGAAUGCAUGAUAUGAGAUACUCUUGCUUUCAACCUUUAUGAUAUGAAAUACUUUUGCUCUGGAUGGGCUGUUUGCAGGGGUAUCCCAGGGAAUGAGGAAUACAGUGUGACUCGAGAGGGUUCUUUGGGAAUGCAUUCUCAAGAUGAAAAAGUGCUGAGAGGGUGUGCCUUUGCUGUGGAAGGCGAAGGUAAAUACUUAUAAGACUUUUCUUCACAACCGGAACUAUUCUCUCACUCAUUGUCGGCAGCCGGUGGAUGGAUGAAUACUACAAAUUACGCGCUUUCUGACAAAGCUGCCCGUAAUUUCCGCAAAGCAGAUUCCUCAUUGAUAUCUGGAAUCGGCGCUUCGAGCUCUGAGCAUCGUCGAUUGUAGAGGUAGUAUGUGACACGUGCGGAUAAAUCUGGAAAAGAAUAUUUGCCCGUGGGUUGAAGCUCAGCUUUUGAGAAAGCUAGCGUGUCUUUGACUGUUGAAUUUCCCUCUUCGAUUUCUGAAUUGGUGCUUCGACAAACUGCCCGAGAAUUUCGCAAAGCAAUUUGCGUAUGACAAGUGACGACACGUCUGGACAAAUUGAUCUUUUGAAAUCCGGGGUUCGGCUCGUGGUUUCUGAGCAAGCCCAGCCUUUGAGAAAUGCAACGCCUCUUUUGAGAAAAGAAUCCGGCUUUUGAGAAAGGAAACUCCUCUUUUGAGAAAAGAAUCAGGCGCUUGAGAACGGAGCCCCGACUCUUCGAUUUGCGAGAGGACGCCUCUUCAAUUUCUGAGGAGCGCCUCUUUGAUUUCUUCUUUUUAUAGAGGCGUUAAUUUUGUUCCACAACACACUUGAGCUCCCUCUUGUAAACACUCCCUUCUUGCAAUUUCCAAAAUCUUAAUCUGUCCGAUCUCUUCUUUCUCAACACCUUCAGAAAAUGUCUGGCCCUUCCGAUCGUCGUUUUGACUUGAACAUUGGUGAAGAGGCAGCUCCGCCUUCACCAGACAACAUAUGGCGCCCAUCUUUCAUAUCCCCUACUGGUCCCCUUACCGUGGGGGAUUCGGUGAUGAAAAAUGACAUGACCGCUGCGGUGGUGGCCGGAACCUUGUCACCCCAAGAGAUAACAGACUGCUCGCUAGACGGUCUGAUGAAUUGGCGGUUAAGGAGUCUCUGGCUCUUAGCGUGCAGUGUGCGGGUUCUGUGUCCAACAUGGCCCAACGCCUAUUUGCUCGAACCCGUCACGUUGAAUCGUUGGUGGCUGAAAUACAGAGUCUCAAAGAGGAGAUUAGAGGACUCAAGCAUGAAAAAUAAACAAUUGCACAAGCUUGCACACAAUUAUGCCACAAACAUGAAGAGGAAAAUUGACCAGCUGCAAGGACACUGAUGGUCAAAUUUUACUUGAUCAUCGGAGGUUUGUGGGUUUGUUCCAACAGCGCAUCUGCCUUCGUCUUCUGGGGCGGCACCGCGUAGUGAAGCUCCAACUGAUCAACCUCCGAUACCUCCUCCUUCCGUGGCCCCGCCGACUGCUGAAGCUCCGCCGACUACUGAAGCACCACCUGACCAAUGAAUGUUUAUUAGUUAACACAUCAUUGUAAAAUAUUUUUACUUUUAUGUUUUUUUUUUAUUUUUUUAUGUAUUAUUAUUAUUAUUAUUAUUAUUAUUUUUAAAUAUGUAAAUUAAUGUAAAAAAAACUUUGGUUAACCUUCCCCCACACUUAAACUAAAUAACACAAACUCACAGAAAUCAACCAAAUAACACAACUAACUAAACAAAACAAAAUGAAAGCAGUAAAGAUAAGGGUGUAAGAAUUCAAAUCUGAUUUGGUUAGCGAUUCCAAAGUCUCCCUUCGUUGAAUGCUUCGGUUGCCUCCCAAGAAGCGCUUGAUUUAACGUCUUUAGCCGGACGAAACUUUCCUUUAAACUCCCCUCGGCUCCAAAGCAUGGAAUUUAUCUUUUAAUGGGAGGUGAUACUUGAAAUGAUUCGGCAAUGGUUUAAAUUCAAGAGUGGGUGCCUGAAUCAUCAAAAUCAGAAAAAUGUUAGUAUAAAUAAAAAUUAAAAUUGGAGAAGAUGGCUUACUUUCUUUUUCCGACACAAACUCAAUGACAAACACCACAUUUUUGAACAUUUCCGGGACUUUGAACUUGGCCAGGUUUACUAUGAUGGUUGUGGCUUGUCCCGUGUCAUCAAACUCAACUGUUUUGGGCUUGAUUGUCUCAUGCACAGCCUCUUGGAUGUAUUCUUGAUAUGCUUUAACCACUUCAUUUUCUUGAAUCCCUUUUCUUGGUGUGCAAGGUUCUUUGAACAUUUCAAUACCAUCGGGAACUUGUUUUGGUGCACCAAGAAUUGGGAUAUCACUUUGCACCUUUGGAAGAGCUUCCACAAUGUCUUUUUCACUCUCUUUGAUAUUUGGAAUCAAAAACCUGCAAGGACAAAGGACAUUCGGUGGAAUAAUGUUAGAAUGAAGUGAAUUUAGAACUUCCUCACCUGAGUUGGAUGACAUAGGGAUUUGAGGAGCUUGCAGCAAAAAUUCUUCUAAACUGCCCAGGUCGUCCUCCUCUUCUUCUGCUUGCAGCAGCAAUUCAUCCAUGUUCGGGUUGUGUUUGGAUGGUUCUGGGACAGCUUCAUCCUUCAUGUCACCUUCCAAAGUGAUGGCUUCAUCGAUUUUCACUUUCUGCCUUUGAAUUUGCAAUGUUUGAGUUGGAAAGUUCACUUUGAUCUCGAAUCUGUGCCAUGAAUUCCACAAUCUGCCCAACUUGCAUCUCCAAUUCGUCCACUCUUUUGACUCGGUCUUGCAUCUCCUGGUUUCGAUUUUCUACUCCCUGAUUCAAAGAGGUGAGUAACUUAUUAAGUGUAUCAUUAUCCAAGGACGUACCUGAAUUGAAUUGGGUUGAUUGUUGUGGUGGCUGUGACGGUUCAUAUGGCCACUGAUAGAACUCUUCCGAUGGCGGCAAUUGUUCUUCUUUUCGUAAACCCUGCGCUACAGAAAUUAGUCCUUCAAGAAUUUCAUUAUAAUUCAUGGGCAUACUUUGAUUUGAUUGGAAUUGUUGUGGGGAAUGCUGUGGUGGCUGCAUAGGUCUUGAAUAGAACUCGUCUUGCUGCCAAUAUCCACCUUGUUGAAAUUGUUGAGGUUCAUCCCACAUAUAAUCUGAAUUACCUCUCCAAUCUGAAUUGUAAGCGUUGGAAAAAAUGUUGCCCCUCGAUUGGUUAUGGCCUUGAUAUCCCCAAACAUCUUCAUUUGCAUAAAAUUGAGGACUUUGAUAACCUUGCCCAUAGGGCACAUCAAAUGUAGGGACACUUGGCAUUGUGGUCCGUUCGGCAUUAUGAGUCAAUUGAGCAGUGAGUUGUGCCAAUUGAGCUUGAAUGGUCGCAAGUGCCAUGUCUCGCUCCAUUUGUACCUAAAAUAAAAAAAAAGAAAAAUAAAUCAAAUAUCAAAAGUAAAAUACACAAACACCAAUAUAAACAUAAACAAAAACAAAAAUAAAGGGAUUAGCAAAGUUGCUAAUCCCCGGCAACGGCGCCAAAAUUUGAUGCGAAAUAUAUAAGCACACAAAUUAAACCCUCUUUUUAUCAAAUGUAGUAAAGUAUGUAAGUAGGGAUCGUUCUAAACCGGGGAUUAGGAGGGCUUGCUAAAACCUCUAAACUAACUCAAAAACAUAAAAACAAAGUUAAAAACGUUUGAAUAGACUUAAAGAACUCAAAACAGGUUCACAAGACUCAAAAUAACUUAAAGACACUCAAAACUGCCUAAAAACACAAACUAGGCAGUUUCUGACUCUAGCACAACUUUGGACGAAAUUUGGGUUUUGACUUGACUCAAAACACUCUAAAACACAAACAAACAAAUUUUAAACACUUUGAAACAAGAAAGUAAAAGGGGAUUUUAGUUUUGAUGAAUUUGAAACAAACAAACAAGUUAUAAAACUAGGAAGAUUGUAAAACAAAUUUAAGAAAUAAGAUGAUGGAUGGAUUAGUUAGAGGUCCGUUCUUCACACAUGACACACUUGUAUAUGAAUUGAUUUCCAAUUGCUUUUCAAUAAACUAUGAUGCUCAACACCCCAGAUUAAUUAGGUACGCUUAAAUUAAUCCUCAGAUUUUUCCUAAUUUCAUUGAAUUGGAUGAUUGCAUACAACAACCCAAAGCAUUCCCCACAAGUUCCCUACAUGAAUUGCAUAAUAGAGAUACAAGCAAGAAUCAUUAAGUUCUAUAAAAAUCAUAAGCAUUGACGAAACACUUGUAACUAUGAAUUGCAUGAAACUUAUGCCAAGAAUUCAAUUAACGCGAUUGUGAUAAACAACCUUCACUACUUAUGAAUAUAAAUUUGUAACGAUUAGGUGAAACUCAUUUAUAUUCUAGCAUCUAAUUCAUGCAUGAAAACUAAGUAUGCAUCCUUAAUAAACAUACAAGAAUUAGUUAUGAAUAAAAUAGAUAAUUGAAUUGCAAUCACAACUUAUCAAAUCACAAUUGGAAGAAAUCAAUUUAAAUCUCAAGCAUGUUCAUGGCUUCAAACUUCCCCCUAACUAAAUAGGGGUUUAGCCACUCAUACUUACAAAGCAAAGAUAAACAAAUUUAAACAUUGAAAACAAAAGAAAGAAAACACCUAAAAACGCUCCAACAAUCCAAUUUGAAUGGCAAGCACGUCCAAGAUCCUUCUUCUUCUCUUUGUAGCGGCACAAGGUGUGGUUUGAUGGAUGAGUGGUAAAUUAUGGUGGUGGAUGGAUAUAGGUGGGUUAUGGUGAAGGGUGGAUGGGUGGAUUGUGUUCUCUUUGGUUUUCUUCCCCCUUGUUAUGGUGAAGGGUGGAUGUAUUUAUAGGCUAGGGAGAGGACCACUCCAUUUCCUUUGCAUGUGAGCUUGUGUGGGUGUGUGUUGGCAUGUUUCCUCUUUACAUUUACACACACAUGCUUCAUCAUUUCAACCACAAAACACACACAUUUUCUGCCAUGUUUUUCCCUUUACAUUUACACACACAUGACCUCCAUCAUUUCAACCACAAAUCAACCCAUUUUAUGCCCAUGUGUGUGUGUUUCCUUUGCCCAUGUGUGUGUGUUUCCUUUGCCCAUGUGUGUGUGUUUUUCCUUUGCAUUUGUACACACAUGUUCUUCAUUAUUUCAGCCAACAAUCCACCCAUUUUCUGCCCAUGUCAAACUAUCCAUGCCUUGCCUUUCUCUUUGUGUAUGUGCUGUCCACGUUUCUGAACCUUUCAGUGUUACAAUGCCCAUAACUUCUUCUAGAAAAAUGAUAUUAACAAUCCGUAAAUUGCUCCAGAAAGUAGACAUCCGUAGCUUUCCACGAAUAUAAGGCUCAUUUUCUAAUUCAUUCUGAGCUGUUUGUAACAUGCUUUCAAAGUCAGCUAAUCUGCACAGGCAGUUUUGACGAAUUUGUUACUUAAU